ACACCUUUUUCAGCCUUUUGGCUAAGAUCAAGUGUAGUAUCCGUUCUUAUCAGUUUAAUAUCUGAUAUGUGGGUCAUAGACUCACAUGAUAUUAAAUUAAUAUUAAUUUUUUUUAAGGAAAGAGUCCACUAUAGUAGCUUGCUAUUGGGGCUUCUCAUGCUGGGUCUUGGCGCACCCUACCAAAAUUAGUUUAAAUAUU